GCAUCGGUGGUUCAGUGGUAGAAUGCUCU
rnacentral:ncRNA from 2 species